rnacentral:rRNA from 1 species
UGCAAGUCGAACGGCAGCACGGAGCUUGCUCUGGUGGCGAGUGGCGAACGGGUGAGUAAUAUAUCGGAACGUACCCAGGAGUGGGGGAUAACGUAGCGAAAGUUACGCUAAUACCGCAUACGUCCCAAGGGAGAAAGUGGGGGCUCGCAAGACCUCAUGCUCAUGGAGCGGCCGAUAUCUGAUUAGCUAGUUGGUAGGGUAAAAGCCUACCAAGGCAUCGAUCAGUAGCUGGUCUGAGAGGACGACCAGCCACACUGGAACUGAGACACGGUCCAGACUCCUACGGGAGGCAGCAGUGGGGAAUUUUGGACAAUGGGGGCAACCCUGAUCCAGCAAUGCCGCGUGAGUGAAGAAGGCCUUCGGGUUGUAAAGCUCUUUUGUCAGGGAAGAAAAGGCUGCGGCUAAUAUCUGCGGCUCAUGACGGUACCUGAAGAAUAAGCACCGGCUAACUACGUGCCAGCAGCCGCGGUAAUACGUAGGGUGCAAGCGUUAAUCGGAAUUACUGGGCGUAAAGCGUGCGCAGGCGGUUUUGUAAGACUGUCGUGAAAUCCCCGGGCUCAACCUGGGAAUGGCGAUGGUGACUGCAAGGCUAGAGUUUGGCAGAGGGGGGUAGAAUUCCACGUGUAGCAGUGAAAUGCGUAGAUAUGUGGAGGAACACCGAUGGCGAAGGCAGCCCCCUGGGUCAAAACUGACGCUCAUGCACGAAAGCGUGGGGAGCAAACAGGAUUAGAUACCCUGGUAGUCCACGCCCUAAACGAUGUCUACUAGUUGUCGGGUCUUAAUUGACUUGGUAACGCAGCUAACGCGUGAAGU